rnacentral:tRNA from 1 species
GGAGAAGUCGCAUAGUUUGGUCCAUUGCGAGGGUUUGCUAAACCCUUGAGCCUGAAUAAGGCUCGCGUGAGUUCGAAUCUCACCUUCUCCG